UACGUAGGGGGCAAGCGUUGUCCGGAUUUAUUGGGCGUAAAGAGCGUGUAGGCGGCCAGACAGGUCCGUUGUGAAAACUCGAGGCUCAACCCUCGAGACGCCGAAUGGGAAACCGUUUGGUCUAGAGUCCGGAAGAGGAGAGUGGAAGUUCCUGGUGUAGGCGGUGAAAUGCGCAGAUAUCAGGAAGAACACCCGUGGCUAAGGCGGCUCUCUAGUACGGUACUGACGCUGAGACGCGAAAGCGUGGGGAGCGAACAGG
rnacentral:rRNA from 1 species